ensembl:lncRNA
GCCCAACCAUGUGAUUUUUAAAAAUGUAUUAAUGGCAAAUGUUAACUUUUUAAGUUGAGGCUAUGGCAGUCAAUUGAAACAUUUUUAUCAGUAUUUCUGAUUGUCUUCUCAACUCACCAUCACAUACCUUUAAUGUGGGGCUAUGGCAGUCAAUUGCAAAUUAGUCGGACAUAAUGUCUCUUAUCUCACCACCACUAAUGGGAUGGGUGUGCUUGAUGCAUGUCGCGUCGGAGCUUCUCAAAGUCAGGGGGCGUGGUCAACAGUGUGCACCUCAUCUCUGCUGUCACAUCAAAUCUGGAUCGAUAUUUGGUUUUAAUGCAAACGAGGGCAUUAAAACCAGCAUUACACAGAUAUGAGCUGGCGAAGGGUACCAUGAGUUUUAUGGUGCUUUCAAGACAACUGGGAACUCUGAAAAAUACAAUGUCAAAUCAUGACCUCAGUGAUCUUCAGGUCGGAAAGUCAGAGCUCUAGAAAGAGGCCUGAGUUCCCGAGUUGGAAUUCCGAGUUGGAUGACUGUUCAAAACAAUUUUUCUCAGUUGGAGCUUAUUUUUUCCAGAGUUCCCAGUUAUCUUGAACGUACUGAAGUCAGAAGUCUGAGAUUCCAAGUUCCCAGUUCUCAGUUGUUAUAAACGUAGCAAUAAUGCUCAGAGGGAGACAGCAGGGUUUCACUUCGAGUCAAGAACAAAAACUCCUCCGUGGUGACACGUGAAUGGUUUGUCUGCAGAAUUCGGUCACAUGAUCGACAGCUCAAUCAGCUGUUCGAUUUCACUUACUGGCAUGUCAACUGAGCAAGGAUCCCAGACAAAUGGAUUGGGAAGUAGGUCCUCAAGUGCUCUUCCAAGUGUUGGAGGGGCCAGGCAGCCAGUGAAAAGGGGAAGAGGAGGGAGUGGCAAGGAUGACAGCACUCCAGCGAAAAUGAUUUUCUGAUGAGCUGCAACACUCCCACGACAUCAGCUCUCUGUAGGGAGUCGUCUCCUAAUUUCCUCCAUCCAUAAUAAAAA